AUUGAACGCUGGCGGCAGGCUUAACACAUGCAAGUCGAACGAGUGGCGGACGGGUGAGUAAUGCUUGGGAAUCUACCUUAUGGAGGGGGAUAACUACGGGAAACGGUAGCUAAUACCGCAUACCAUCGGAUGUGCCCAGAUGGGAUUAGCUAGUAGGUGGGGUAACGGCUCACCAAGGCGACGAUCCCUAGCUGGUCUGAGAGGAUGACCAGCCACACUGGAACUGAUACACGGUCCAGACUCCUACGGGAGGCAGCAGUGGGGAAUAUUGCGCAAUGGGGGCAACCCUGACGCAGCCAUGCCGCGUGAAUGAAGAAGGCCUUCGGGUUGUAAAGUUCUUUCGGUAGCGAGGCGUUAACUACAGAAGAAGCACCGGCUAACUCCGUGCCAGCAGCCGCGGUAAUAC
rnacentral:rRNA from 1 species